CUGGAAAGCAGGAAGCUGGUACCUAGUCCAGGAAUCCGUAAUGGAGGAGAAGGCUCUCAGGGUGAACUGGGGAUGAACUCCGGAUACUUAUGGAGGCAAGAUCCUUCAAAGGGAAUAAAACAAAGCCAGGAGACAGGUACCUAGAGGUGGCCACAGACUGGCAUAUCCUUGAGGAUCUUAUUUCUGGAUCCUGCUUUAUGUACUGCUGUGCCUGCCACUUAACAUAGAGCUGUUGAAUGAAUGGAUGAUUCUAGA